rnacentral:tRNA from 1 species
AGUGCCAUAGCUCAACGGUAGAGUGUCCGGUUGUCUCCCGGAAGGUUGCGGGUUCGAAACCCGUUGGUACUG